AUUGAACGCUGGCGGCAGGCCUAACACAUGCAAGUCGAACGAGUGGCGGACGGGUGAGUAAUGUCUGGGAAACUGCCUGAUGGAGGGGGAUAACUACUGGAAACGGUAGCUAAUACCGCAUACCAUCAGAUGUGCCCAGAUGGGAUUAGCUAGUUGGUGGGGUAACGGCUCACCAAGGCGACGAUCCCUAGCUGGUCUGAGAGGAUGACCAGACAAACGGGGACUGAGACACGGUCCAGACGCCUACGGGAGGGAGCAGUGGGGAAUAUUGGACAAAGGGCGCAAGCCUUAUGCAGCCAUGCCGCGGGUAUGAAGAAGGCCCUCGGGUUUGAAAGUACUUUCAGCGGGGAGGCGUUACCCGCAGAAGAAGCACCGGCUAACUCCGUGCCAGCAGCCGCGGUAAUUC
rnacentral:rRNA from 1 species